GACGAACCGUGCGAACGUUGUUCGGAAUCACUGGGCUUAAAGGGCGCGUAGGCGGAUUGCCAAGUCAGGGGUGAAAUCUCUCAGCUCAACUGGGAAAUUGCUUUUGAUACUGGCAGUCUCGAGUGAGGUAGGGGCAUGUGGAACUCUCGGUGGAGCGGUGAAAUGUGUUGAUAUCGGGAGGAACUCCGGUGGCGAAAGCGACGUGCUGGCCCUCAACUGACGCUGAGGCGCGAAAGCUAGGGGAGCAAACGG
rnacentral:rRNA from 1 species